GUAAAUUGGGGGCGAGAGGGCGGGGGAAUAGGGAGGGGGGGAGGGUUAAUCGGAUUUACUGGGCGGAAAGGGGGCGUAGGUGGCUAAUUAAGUCAAAGGGGAAAUCCCCGAGCUUAACUUGGGAAUUGCAUUCGAUACUGGUUGGCUAGAGUAUGGGAGAGGAUGGUAGAAUUCCAGGUGUAGCGGUGAAAUGCGUAGAGAUCUGGAGGAAUACCGAUGGCGAAGGCAGCCAUCUGGCCUAAUACUGACACUGAGGUGCGAAAGCAUGGGGAGCAAACAGGAUUAGAUACCCCUGUAGUC
rnacentral:rRNA from 1 species